CUUUCAUAGGCUGCAGGUGCAGCCAUAAAAAGAAAAGAGAGAAAGAAACUCACAAAAUUGAACGAGAGUGAUUCAGGGUUAAGAAUCUGGAUGUAUCUAUAACAGCUUUUCUGAUUCAAGUCUAAAAGAAGACUGAAAAUUCUUGGCUGGAAGACUCAGCAGUUACUGAGAGAAAAGGCUUUGGUUUCUGGAGCAAGUUGUGGACAUGCAGGCAGAAGUCAACUUCUGCUUUCCUCAUCUUAGAGCCAGACUCUCACUCUAGGCUCUGUGCUUGGGAAAAGCUUUCUAUUGGCAGAUACUGCUUUGGGGAACAAGAGCAUAUCCUGUCCUGAGCUUCAGCAGGGUGGGUUUGUUCUAUGAUCUUCAAAUGUUGUAGGGAAUAAUAAUAGCUGAAAAAGAACUGUCAUGUUACAGUUGCAGAUCAUUUAUCUAUUUAUCUCUUGCAAGAGGCUCUGACCCAGGUGUAUGUUUGCUGCUGAAUAGUCUUUCUUCUGGAAAAACCACCUGGUAUGUGUACAAAUACAAGAGAACAUAAUGAGAAAGUAGAAAUGUUUGGAAAAUGGCAAAAUAAACUAUUGUAAGGAUUAAGUUACUCUUUAGGAUAAUGUAAAAUGUUGUCGUUAUAUUGCAGGCAGAAUUCUUCAUAUAUUUCUUUUGGAGAGGUAUUCUUCCCUAAAUGUAUAUUUUAAUUGCAAUGUACGUUCAUUGUGUGUGGACAUAUGGGCAUGUGGGUGUAGAUGUGUUUAUUUUUAUUUAUUAUUUGUUUAUGUAAUUUUAUGUUCAUUUAUAUUUGACUGGGAUUUUAGAGAUGUCAGUAAUUUAGGCCAAAAAUACUGCAGGGAUGAUGUAGGCAAGGAAGGACAAUGAAACGGAACUCAAUUAGUUUGAGGAUGCUCAAUCUUUACUGAAAAUACUGCAUAUGAUGGAGCAAUGUUAAAAUGGAGAGCACUGUCCUUUUGACUGGGAAAGUGUUUAAGGAAAUCAUCUUUGCUUCUAUGUGUGUGUCGCUGGAGCUGUGGUUGGAUGUAGUUGUGGUGACAUUGCCCCGAGGGGUCAUAGCUAGACCCACUAGUAUGGGUACCAAGUGGAUUUGUCCUGAAGAGGGUGGAUUUUCCUACUGUAAAUUCUCUAGAGUAGGAAAUGAGGAUGAAGAGGUAGCCCUCAGGGCUGGUUAAAGAAGAAACUCCUUCCUUUAUGAGUGUCCUCUUGAAUGGACUCAAGAUAUUCUUGUGGGCACUUCCAAUGCUGAUUGGAAAUUUGUUUUUGUUUUUAUUUUGUUUUGUUUUUGCCACAAGGAGGCUCCCUGCAAAAGCCCCAUGAGAAAGAUACAGGAAGCCUGGAUUUGUUAGGGGACUAUUGACUGAAACCACCUGCCUUGAUCAACACUGUAUGGCUUGCAUGAAUUGUCUCAGAGUAGGAGGCCCUGAUAAGGAACGUGGUGCUGCCCUGAAGACUAAUAUGGAGAAUCUAGGAGGGGCCAAUAGGAGGGAGGAGUUGACCAACCUCCCAGGAUCCUUGGUGCUAGAAUCCAUCCUGGCUGAGAGGUACUGGAGCCCCAAGAAAGACCUCCAGCCAGACCAAGUACAGGCAGAGAAAGAUGACUGGUCAGAGACAACUCAGAAACUAACCCCAUUCUCCUAAAACCUGAGACUGUGAGCCACGUGUCAGAGCAGUUCUCCUGCGUUGCCUAACCCUGCUGCUCUCCACCCCCGUUCCCCUUCCCAACAAAGGCUUUGGCUUUGUCAGCAUGUGUGUCUCCUUGUAUUAGGUAGGGUAAGAUAGGGAUUCUGGCCCGGGUGAUUCAAAACAGAUCAUUUAUUGUUACCUGAAACAGGAGGCCUGCAAUCAAACAAUGAAGAUACAUGCAGAUUCCAGAGGAAUGCUCUUCAGAGCAUCUCCCUAUAACAUUUCCCCAUGCAAGGCAUCCUCAAAACCAAUCGGAGGAUCCAAACGCGCCCCUUAGGCACACACAGGUGCAGGGGGGUUGGGACAGGAAAUUAGUGGGCCUGGGGAAAGAGAAUAGGGGUCCCCAAACAGGUCUGCCAUAUAUGAACAUAAGGAAGGAUCCAAUUGCAGCCAGCACCAGUCCCUCGCCCAUGCUCCCUGAGGGUGUAAAUAAAACUUUCUGUACACUGCGACCUGACUCUUGACUGUGACCUCCGAGGCAACGGGCAGGAGCGUUUUUUGGCACAGAGUGACAGAGCCAGAGCCCUACGGCUCGUUAGAAAAGUCCAGGUCAGAGCUCUUACACUAGGAUGUGGGUUCGAGGGGAAAUUCCCUUCGACCUAGAACCACCAGGUCCUGAGCUGAUUGCUUCUGCCUGAAGAGAUCGCGUGCCGCCUGCCUCCAGGCUUGCAAGGAAGCCCAUUAGCUCCGUCCCAGUUCUGCUACAGCACUUCUUGGCCUGCACCUCCAAAUCCUUGUUGUAGGCGGGCAAAGACCAAGGGAGAUACCACAGAGCAGACGAACUUGACAUUGGACAAUUCAUUUCCGAGUGUUAGACAAGAGCUCAUUCUCGGACCCAGGAAGGGAUUCCCCUUCCCGCAACAGAGUCACAUAAAAUAGCCAAAGGGUCCAGAUCAAGAAGCCAAAUGAAGAAAAUGAAAUUCUCACUUGCUUCGGUUUCCACAUGAAAAACCUUUAAUUUACCUCUAGAGGGCACUCUUCAUUCUCUGAUCUUUCUGAGGUCUUCAGCACAGCAGGGCUGUCCUUCAAAUGGAAGUAAAUGCAUUUACUAACAUUAGUGAUUUGUUUGUGAAUAAUCAGAAGCACCCUGAUUCUGGGCAGAUAUUUUCCCCCUUAAUGGUCCUGUUGAUUGUGAUGCAAAGUUCUUGACUGCCUCAGAUGUAAACUGGAAGAAUUCAGCAAAUCCCAAUUGCCAGUGCAACUAUACAUAAAAUGUGUUUCACCGUCACAAACUUUUUAUUUCCAUAAAAUAAACAGAGUAAAAAAUUAAGAAA